UUUGAUCAUGGCUCAGAUUGAACGCUGGCGGCAGGCCUAACACAUGCAAGUCGAACGGUAACAGGAAGCAGCUUGCUGCUUCGCUGACGAGUGGCGGACGGGUGAGUAAUGUCUGGGAAACUGCCUGGUGGAGGGGGAUAACUACUGGAAACGGUAGCUAAUACCGCAUAACGUCGCAAGACCAAAGAGGGGGACCUUCGGACCUCUUGCCAUCGGAUGUGCCCAGAUGGGAUUAGCUAGUAGGUGGGGUAACGG
rnacentral:rRNA from 1 species